GCAAGUUCAAUAUCUGACGACCAUAAUCCAAGUGGUCCAUAUCUUUUUCAUGCCCUUUCAGGCGAUACCACAGCCUCUCCAGGCUAUCCCUGCACCCCCUAUAGUGGUGCAUCAUACAGUUCCCUCGAUAGUGCCGCCUGUGCCUUCCACAACGGCACCCCCAUAGAAUCCUGCUUUGACUACAGCUCCACAGCCACCACC
rnacentral:lncRNA from 1 species